AAGCCCCCCUCAAGAUGAGAUUUCCCAACUUCGGUUAUAAGAUCCCUCAAAGAUGAUGAGGUUAAUAGGUUCGAGGUGGAAGCAUGGUGACAUGUGGAGCUGACGAAUACUAAUCGAUCGAAGAUUUAAUCAAAA
rnacentral:rRNA from 1 species